rnacentral:rRNA from 1 species
AGGGUUAAAGGUCCCCGUUAGAGUUUGGAUCAGGCUCAGGACGAACGCUGGCGGCGUGCCUAAUACAUGCAAGUCGAGCGGACAGAAGGGAGCUUGCUCCCGGAUGUUAGCGGCGGACGGGUGAGUAACACGUGGGUAACCUGCCUGUAAGACUGGGAUAACUCCGGGAAACCGGAGCUAAUACCGGAUAGUUCCUUGAACCGCAUGGUUCAAGGAUGAAAGACGGUUUCGGCUGUCACUUACAGAUGGACCCGCGGCGCAUUAGCUAGUUGGUGGGGUAAUGGCUCACCAAGGCGACGAUGCGUAGCCGACCUGAGAGGGUGAUCGGCCACACUGGGACUGAGACACGGCCCAGACUCCUACGGGAGGCAGCAGUAGGGAAUCUUCCGCAAUGGACGAAAGUCUGACGGAGCAACGCCGCGUGAGUGAUGAAGGUUUUCGGAUCGUAAAGCUCUGUUGUUAGGGAAGAACAAGUGCGAGAGUAACUGCUCGCACCUUGACGGUACCUAACCAGAAAGCCACGGCUAACUACGUGCCAGCAGCCGCGGUAAUACGUAGGUGGCAAGCGUUGUCCGGAAUUAUUGGGCGUAAAGGGCUCGCAGGCGGUUUCUUAAGUCUGAUGUGAAAGCCCCCGGCUCAACCGGGGAGGGUCAUUGGAAACUGGGAAACUUGAGUGCAGAAGAGGAGAGUGGAAUUCCACGUGUAGCGGUGAAAUGCGUAGAGAUGUGGAGGAACACCAGUGGCGAAGGCGACUCUCUGGUCUGUAACUGACGCUGAGGAGCGAAAGGAGG